GUGGGGGAUAUUGCACAAUGGGGGAAACCCUGAUGCAGCGACGCCGCGUGAGUGAAGAAGUAUUUCGGUAUGUAAAGCUCUAUCAGCAGGGAAGAAAGACCCGCAAGGGGGAUGACGGUACCUGAGUAAGAAGCCCCGGCUAACUACGUGCCAGUAGCCGCGGUAAUACGUAGGGGGCAAGCGUUAUCCGGAUUUACUGGGUGUAAAGGGAGCGCAGACGGUUAUGCAAGUCUGGAGUGAAAACCCACAGCUCAACUGUGGGCUUGCUUUGGAAACUGUGUAACUGGAGUACUGGAGAGGUAAGCGGAAUUCCUAGUGUAGCGGUGAAAUGCGUAGAUAUUAGGAGGAACACCGGUGGCGAAGGCGGCUUACUGGACAGCAACUGACGUUGAGGCUCGAAGGCGUGGGGAGCAAACAGGAUUAGAAACCCUGGUAGUCC
rnacentral:rRNA from 1 species